rnacentral:tRNA from 1 species
CCUGGUAGCUCAGACGGUAAAGCGUCUGCCUGCAAUGCGGGAGACCUGGGUUCGAUCCCUGGGUCAGGA